GAUGAACGCUGGCGGCGUGCCUAAUACAUGCAAGUCGAGCGAAUGGAUUAAGAGCUUGCUCUUAUGAAGUUAGCGGCGGACGGGUGAGUAACACGUGGGUAACCUGCCCAUAAGACUGGGAUAACUCCGGGAAACCGGGGCUAAUACCGGAUAACAUUUUGAACCGCAUGGUUCGGAAUUGAAAGGCGGCUUCGGCUGUCACUUAUGGAUGGACCCGCGUCGCAUUAGCUAGUUGGUGAGGUCACGGCUCACCAAGGCAACGAUGCGUAGCCGACCUGGGAGGGUGAUCGGCCACACUGGGACUGAGACACGGCCCAGACUCCUACGGGAGGCAGCAGUAGGGAAUCUUCCGCAAUGGACGAAAGUCUGACGGAGCAACGCCGCGUGAGUGAUGAAGGCUUUCGGGUCGUAAAACUCUGUUGUUAGGGAAGAACAAGUGCUAGUUGAAUAAGCUGGCACCUUGACGGUACCUAACCAGAAAGCCACGGCUAACUACGUGCCAGCAGCCGCCGCAG
rnacentral:rRNA from 1 species